AGAAUCAGAAGCUGGAGUGACAUUGAACUAUUGAAUUAAAGGCCACAGUGCACAUCUACAAUUCUACAAUUCAGUGGUCAAGUCAAUGCUCCUGGUAUCCCCGAUAUCUCUAUGACCACAACUGCACCUCAUCCCCAAUGAUGCUGGUGACAACACCAGCCACAUGGGCCAGGCAGCCACAGAGUCCUGUCAUUGCCAUGACCUGUCACAGAUGGCCUAUGUCUGACUUUCACCUGCCAAUCUU
rnacentral:lncRNA from 10 species